rnacentral:lncRNA from 1 species
AUCAUUAAGGGAAGCCUAGUUGGAUCUACGCUCGACAUGCAUGAGAAGGUCACUACAUACGCCAAAUCUGCCCCAAACAAAUGUCAAGCCUUCGAAAAUUGCUUUUCUCAGGUUCAAUCAUUCUUGUUUCAUUUCUUGAUUCUUAAACACUUUUCUUGAUUCUUAAACACUAAUUAAUGACUGAAAUUAAUAUAUUAGUUGAUUAACUAGUUCUUGAGUCUAUUAUCUU